GACGAACCGUCCAAACGUUAUUCGGAUUCACUGGGCUUAAAGGGUGCGUAGGCGGCUCAGAAAGUAGGGUGUGAAAGCCCUCGGCUCAACCGAGGAAUUGCGCCCUAAACUACUGGGCUUGAGGAACGCAGAGGUAAGCGGAACUUACGGUGGAGCGGUGAAAUGCGUUGAUAUCGUAAGGAACACCAGGAGCGAAAGCGGCUUACUGGGCGUUUUCUGACGCUGAGGCACGAAAGCCAGGGGAGCGAACAGG
rnacentral:rRNA from 1 species